rnacentral:lncRNA from 1 species
AUAGUUUUGGCGCAGCUUGGUCUUUGAGGCCCUUGCGCCAUAAAACCGCAUACCUACCAACCAACCAAACGAUCAUUUACAUAAACUUCCCGUCGAUUCACCCCAGCGGCACUCGGUCACAGGUAAUAAUACUCGUCCUCUUGACAAAAAACAAAAACAGUCACUUUUACCCCAAUCCUCACAUUUUUAUUUCAAUUUUUCUUUACCAUUAUUUAGCCAGUUUAUUGUUGUUUAUUAUUAAUGUCAAAAAUAUGGUUUUGAAGUUCAUUAGAUAUAUUUAACUAACAUAUACAUUUUCUAUUUUGUUACAAAAAUUAUGUAUUUAAAAUUAACAUUUGAAAUAUAUGGAUUUCUAAUUAUACAAUUUUAAUAAUUAUUUACCGAUAACGUUUUUGUAAUAUUUCGCCAUUUGGUAUCACAUAGCCAAUAAAAUUCGCUUUCUCCGACGAAAACCAGUUUACCAAAGCAUGAUUUCAAUUAAAUUUUCGCUUUCUCCGACGAAAACCAGUUUACAAAAGCAUGAUUUCAUUAUGGAUAACUUUUAGUAAAAUUAUUAUGGCAGUAGGGGAUGAUUUCGAUCUCUUCUGACCGGCUUUAGGCUGGUACAGGGGUCGGAUCUAUACAGUAGUUUACUACUGUAAAGAUAUGUUACCAAUUAAUAUGUUUCUUUUAAAUUUGUAUAUAAUUUGUUCUUUCUUCAAAUUUAUACAAGUAAACUUUGAUCUUAGCCAAAAGAGCAAGAAAUGUGAAGAAAAUUCUUCCGGAUUUGCUAGAUUUUACCUUCAAUCUGCUAAUCAACCACAAUAUGAAAGCGUCCUUUAUAAAUGUUCCCAUGAAAUAUGUCUCCAGUUGGAACCAAUGUUAUUGGGUUGAUGCGAAAGUUCGUCCCUUUUUUGACAAAAAUUGAAAAAAGAAAUUAUUUACUAAAAAUAACGUUUAAUCAAUAUGGUUACAGAUAUCAAUAUAUCCGCUCGACUUUUUUUCUCUGGUAGUUGCAUAAUUCCGCGCACAUAGUUCUGAGGUUUCUAACUACAGAACUGAUCAAAAUGAUUUUUCAAAUCUGUUCAAAGCUUUUACUAUGUUACUCGUAUUUCUUACAAUUGAAGUCUCCCCAAUUAUUAGUUUUAGAAUUAUUUUCAUAUCUUC